UAUGAAAGAACAGUCCGCUGAGAACAGUGCCUAAGAAGGCUUCUAACACGACAACGUCCAGUGUCAGCCGGGUUUUGAUUUCCUCUCUCCACUCUAGAACAGUUCGAGCAGGUGAUGUUGUUGCUUAUCACUGUUCAUGCAAAUGAGCAGUCUUAGAAAUGACAAGCAGGCGAUGUUUUAUGAGCAUCGUGUGGCGUUGCGACUGUGUCUGUUUUACGUGGUUAUUUUGAGGAGUUACGACGUCAUAAUGCUUUCUUCUUUCCUGAGAGACUCCUCGUGUGAGGGUCCUCAAGACUGAUGUGCGAAAAGUUCAGCGAGGAACAGAAAUUUUAGGGAAUGGCAGAUUCUGCUUUUGAAAUCUAGGAGUCUCGUCCAUUGAAACGCACACUUGUUGCAUGUCGCUCUUUUUUUUUUUUUUUUUUAUUUUUUAACCUAGGAGAGCACAUGGUUUAUAAUGCUUUUGGCGUGAAGUUUAGCCUUUUUCCAUACGAAUUGGAAGUGAAGCUCAAUCGGUAGGAGAAAAUAUCAGCUAGAUUCGAAUGCAUGUCGCUCAGCGUAAUUUAGGAUACAAUUUUGAGCCGCACACUGGUCUACGGUGCUGCCCCAGUGUCUGUCAGUUGUGAGAUUGACCGGACCCUGCAAUUUUUAACGUGACGUGUGUGUCUGUGGGUUUCUUCCAGAUGGUGAGGAAAUGGUAUUAAACUCACGUCACAAUUAAGUAUUGAAGUCAUUUCUUUGGUGCGACACUGAGGAGUGUGCUCACGCUCUCGAGCACAUCCUUGAGUUGAGCAAAUCGAUAUACUCAACGUUUCAACAUAAUAGUUAAGUUCUCCACGAGAUCUCAUCUCUUGGGACUCGCAAAAUUCGUGAUGGUUGGCGAUGGAAAUGUCUUGAACACAUGUUCAAUGGUGGAGACAGUAACUCUGGAGACCGAACUGAAGACUUGGUGAGGAUGAGCACAUGACAGCGGUCUCUAACAUGCCCGCUCUGCCAGCCUUAGCGAGGUCGCUCGGUCGCUGGCAAGAUGGCUCUCUCUAUCUCUCCUUCCCCCACCCUCCCCUUCAGUGCCGAAGAAAGUUUUGCAUGGUCUUUUAGUUUCAAAUCGACAGAAAGCUCAAGCGGCGAAAACCGCGAUUUAUGCACAAAAUGGCAUCUUAGAACCAGUAUGCAAGAGUACAGCAAGCACCACUUUCAUCAGAGGGAAGAAUUUGCCGCAGUGGGAGAUGAACAGAAGCUGUUUCCAGAAUCGAAGAACAGUGCAAUGGAAACAGUUGUAAAACACAACAAAUUCCAUGGAGUAAAGGUGCUAGCAACUGACAGGCGCAUUGUGCCGACUGGGUUCAGUCAUUAAGGGAGAAUGUGCCAUGCAAAAAGAUUCUGAAAACGUGGUUGUGAGAGCACCGAAAAGCUGCAGAACAGAUCGAGACAGCUAUGAGAAAAUGUCACCAUGGAGGUUCUGAAUGCCUGCUCUGCAUCAGUAAGAUCCGGUUAUCUAUGUCGUCUAUUACUCACAGGGAAACUAAACUACUGCAACGUGGUCACUGAAUUGUUGACUGUGAAUGGGCAGGCUUUACAAACUCUUCUGGACCUGAUUAAUGUGAGACUGGCAACUUCUGAGCCCUAUCGCUUAAGCCACCGAGUUGCCCCAAACGUGACCAAGCUUAGAGUGCAGAAUUGAACAGACUGCGAUGCUCAUUAUUCAUCACUGUUCUCAGUGAAGUGGAAGAAAAUGAAUUCAUCUUUGUUGGAUCCAACAUGGUAAAAGAAAUUAACAAGAUUAAGGGGGUGUUUACAUCCAAAAGUCCACUUUGAAAUUUCAUUGUCCAAAAGAUUUACAAAGUUUGUAUUUUUUGGAAGACUAGGCCUUCUUAAGGUGAUAUAUAGUGAGAUCAACACAAUAUAUAUCAAAAAUUGUUUAUGUGGUUUAGACAUAAAAGAUCACAUUAUUUGUUGUUAUGAAAGAUUUAGAUUUUGUAAAUUUGUAAUUUUUAGACAUGUGUACAAAGAAGGUGUUUAGGGGAAAAUAUUGCAUUUUGUGUGACACUUUUCAACUUUUUAAAAAUAAAAACUAGGUCUAAUUUUAAGCAAUAAAAAAAAAAUUGGUAAUGUUA